UACGGAGGUGGCAAGCGUUGCUCGGAAUCACUGGGCGUAAAGGGUGCGUAGGCGGCGCGGUAAGUCGGGUGUGAAAUCUCGGAGCUUAACUCCGAAACUGCAUUCGAUACUGCCGUGCUUGAGGACUGGAGAGGAGACUGGAAUUUACGGUGUAGCGGUGAAAUGCGUAGAUAUCGUAAGGAAGACCAGUGGCGAAGGCGGGUCUCUGGACAGUUCCUGACGCUGAGGCACGAAGGUCAGGGGAGCAAACGGG
rnacentral:rRNA from 1 species